AUUGAACGCUGGCGGCAGGCUUAACACAUGCAAGUCGAGCGAGCGGCGGACGGGUGAGUAAGGUCUGGGAAACUGCCUGAUGGAGGGGGAUAACUACUGGAAACGGUAGCUAAUACCGCAUACCAUCAGAUGUGCCCAGAUGGGUUUAGUUAGUAGGUGGGGUAAUGGCUCACUUGGGUGACGAUCCCUAGCUGGUCGGAGAGGAGAACCAGCCACCCUGGAACUGAGACACGGUCCAGACUCCUACGGGAGGCAGCAGUGGGGAAUAUUGCACAAUGGGCGCAAGCCUGAUGCAGCCAUGCCGCGUGUGUGAAGAAGGCCUUCGGGUUGUAAAGCACUUUCAGCGAGGAGGCGUUACUCGCAGAAGAAGCACCGGCUAACUCCGUGCCAGCAGCCGCGGUAAUUC
rnacentral:rRNA from 1 species